rnacentral:rRNA from 1 species
AGAUUGAACGCUGGCGGCAUGCCUUACACAUGCAAGUCGAGCGGCAGCGCGGGGGCAACCCUGGCGGCGAGCGGCGGACGGGUGAGUAAUGCAUCGGAACGUGUCCUUUCGUGGGGGAUAACCAGUCGAAAGACUGGCUAAUACCGCAUGAGAUCGCAAGAUGAAAGCAGGGGAUCCGCAAGGACCUUGCGCGAGAGGAGCGGCCGAUGCCUGAUUAGCUAGUUGGUGGGGUAAAAGCCCACCAAGGCGACGAUCAGUAGCUGGUCUGAGAGGACGACCAGCCACACUGGGACUGAGACACGGCCCAGACUCCUACGGGAGGCAGCAGUGGGGAAUUUUGGACAAUGGGGGAAACCCUGAUCCAGCCAUGCCGCGUGUGCGAAGAAGGCCUGGUGUAAGCACUUCGUCGAACGAAUACGCGCUGUGAAUAUACAGCGUGAGUAGACGGUACGGAAGAAAGAAAGACGACCGGACUAACUAACGUAGCCGACG